GCCCCCGUAGCUCAGUUGGAUAGAGCAGCAGUUUCCUAAACUGUUGGUCGGCGGUUCGACUCCGCCCGGGGGCA
rnacentral:tRNA from 1 species